AUUGCACGCUGGCGGCAGGCCUAACACAUGCAAGUCGAACGAGUGGCGGACGGGUGAGUAAUGUCUGGGAAACUGCCUGGUGGAGGGGGAUAAAUACUGGAAACGGUAGCUAAUACCGCAUACCAUCAGAUGUGCCCAGAUGGGAUUAGCUUGUUGGUGGGGUACCGGCUCACCAAGGCGACGAUCCCUAGCUGGUCUGCGAGGAUGACCAGCCACACUGGAACUGAUACACGGUCCAUACGCCUACGGGAGGCAGCAGUGGGGAAGAUUGCACAAUGGGCGAAAGCCUGAUGCAGCCAAGCCGCGUGUAUGAAGAAGGCCUUCGGGGUGUAAAGUACUUUCAGCGGGGAGGCGUUACCCGCAGAAUAAGCACCGGCUAACUCCGUGCCAGCAGCCGCGGUAAUAC
rnacentral:rRNA from 1 species